AGUGAACGCUGGCGGUAGGCCUAACACAUGCAAGUCGAACGGCAGCACAGUAAGAGCUUGCUCUUACGGGUGGCGAGUGGCGGACGGGUGAGGAAUACAUCGGAAUCUACUUUUUCGUGGGGGAUAACGUAGGGAAACUUACGCUAAUACCGCAUACGACCUACGGGUGAAAGCAGGGGAUCUUCGGACCUUGCGCGAUUGAAUGAGCCGAUGUCGGAUUAGCUAGUUGGCGGGGUAAAGGCCCACCAAGGCGAUGAUCCGUAGCUGGUCUGAGAGGAUGAUCAGCCACACUGGAACUGAGACACGGUCCAGACUCCUACGGGAGGCAGCAGUGGGGAAUAUUGGACAAAGGGCGCAAGCCUGAUCCAGCCAUACCGCGUGGGUGAAGAAGGCCUUCGGGUUGUAAAGCCCUUUUGUUGGGAAAGAAAAGCAGCAGGUUAAUACCCCGCUGUUCUGACGGUACCCAAAGAAUAGGCACCGGCUAACUUCGUG
rnacentral:rRNA from 1 species